rnacentral:rRNA from 1 species
ACUUAAAUUGAAGAGUUUGAUCAUGGCUCAGAUUGAACGCUGGCGGCAGGCCUAACACAUGCAAGUCGAGCGGCAGCGGAAAGUAGCUUGCUACUUUGCCGGCGAGCGGCGGACGGGUGAGUAAUGUCUGGGAAACUGCCUGAUGGAGGGGGAUAACUACUGGAAACGGUAGCUAAUACCGCAUAACGUCGC